UCUCCGUUGGUGAACCAGCGGAGGGAUCAUUACUGAGUCGUAAAAAACUCCCAACCCAUGUGAAUUUACCUUUGUUGCCUCGGCGGGACCUACCCGGUACCUACCCUGUAGCUACCCUGUAGCCCGCCGGUGGAUUUUCAAACUCUUGUUAUUUUAAUGUUAUCUGAGCGUCUUAUUUUAAUAAGUCAAAACUUUCAACAACGGAUCUCUUGGUUCUGGCAUCGAUGAAGAACGCAGC
rnacentral:misc_RNA from 1 species